rnacentral:rRNA from 1 species
UACGUAGGGGGCUAGCGUUGCUCCGGAAUCAUUGGGCGUAAAGCGCGCGUAGGCGGCCCGGUAAGUCCGCUCUGAAAGUCCAGGGCUCAACCCUGGAAAGCGGGUGGAUACUGCCCGGGCUAGAAUCCGGAAGAGGCGAGUGGAAUUCCUGGUGUAGCGGUGGAAUGCGCAGAUAUCAGGAGGAACACCAAUAGCGAAGGCAGCUCGCUAAACUGUGAUGACGCUGAGGCACGAAAGCGUGGGGAUCAAACAGG